rnacentral:sRNA from 1 species
CGUUCGGUGGAAACGAGAAUAAAACGUGAAGGAUAACGUUGCGUCAGCAACGGCCCGUAGGGCGAGGCAAAGCCGAGUCAUCCUGCACAACCCACCA